rnacentral:rRNA from 1 species
GGGGAAUAUUGCACAAUGGGCGAAAGCCUGAUGCAGCAACGCCGCGUGAGUGAUGAAGGUCUUCGGAUUGUAAAGCUCUGUCUUUUGGGACGAUAAUGACGGUACCAAAGGAGGAAGCCACGGCUAACUACGUGCCAGCAGCCGCGGUAAUACGUAGGUGGCGAGCGUUGUCCGGAUUUACUGGGCGUAAAGGGUGCGUAGGCGGAUGUUUAAGUGAGAUGUGAAAUACCCGGGCUUAACUUGGGUGCUGCAUUUCAAACUGGAUAUCUAGAGUGCAGGAGAGGAGAAUGGAAUUCCUAGUGUAGCGGUGAAAUGCGUAGAGAUUAGGAAGAACACCAGUGGCGAAGGCGAUUCUCUGGACUGUAACUGACGCUGAGGCACGAAAGCGUGGGUAGCAAACAGGAUUAGAUACCCUGGUAGUCCACGCCGUAAACGAUGAGUACUAGGUGUAGGAGGUAUGCGACCCCUUCUGUGCCGCAGUAAACACAUU